GGUGACGACAGCUGGCUGAUAGGGAGACACUGUAGCUCAGGCUCAAGGCUGGCAGACAAUGGGUGUACCCCGCCUUGCGCCCGAUGUCAGCUGGGAUUGGCUCCAGCCCCCCCGCGACCCUGUACGCAGGAUAAACGAUUGACGAUGGAUGGAUGGAUGGAUGGAUGGAUGGAUGAUCUUCUUGUUCUAACAGCAUGUUUCUUGCUGACAGUAGAGACACUCUCAUACAUUGAGAUUCCUGACAUACUGUAUCACCACAUCUGGAGGCGCUUCUCAUCACUCCACUUUAUUAGACUCUGGGGAGUCAACUUGGACAGCAGAGGCCCUUGUUAGAGAUCAUAUUUUUAAUCUCCUCACAUGAAAUGAUUGUCCCCCUCAUUCAACAUUAUGGAUGACAUCCCAUUAAAGAGUGUGCCAGGUUUAUGUGUCACCAAUGAAGCAAUAUGAAAGGAGCCAGGCAAGGAACAAAUGAUCCACUCCAUCACCGCCAGAUAAAAGUAAAUGGAUCAUGUCUCUAAUAGUUGGUCUACUUUAAGACAGAUUGCUUAUUAAAUGAUUUGUAUGUGAGAGAAGGGAGGAAAAGAGACAGACAUUUAGUCAUCAUUUUUUUAUGGCGAUAUAAAAAAAUCUGUGUGUGGCACCUGUAAAAAGAAUUAUAUAUAUUUUUUUGUAAAACAUGCCCAGUUAUUUUAAUGUAACAGUUUGCUUAAUAGUAUACUGGAAUACUUAGUUAAUUGUUCAGUUAUGUAUUUUUGUGCUUGCCAGUAGCAAGCCACAUAGAAGAUGUUGCAGUUGUUAGAUGGAUCCCUGGUCUGUUCUAAGUGUGUGUGCCCAGCUUGUAUUUUUUGCAUGU